UUCUCAAACUAUUGAUGCUAAUAAAAAGAUUUAUAAGAAUCUUCAAAAUAAAAUCCAGUUUCAAAAUUCUCUAAACUGUUCAAGAACCUACAAAUCUUGUUUUCGUUAAGUUAUUGUCGCUUACUUUUGCAAUCAGCAUUCUGUUACCAGAAUAAAGUUUGUCGAUAAUACAGACUACAUUUUUCCAAAUUACCACGUACAAAAAGCUGCACAUAUCCGUUUUUGAUCCAUUUCAAAUUAUUCCAGGCCUAAUCACCAUGUGACUAGAAUGUUACAUGCUCUCGAUAACUUUCUUUUCGAUCAAGACGUCAGGCAAGCCAGUCACCUUCUUUCAAAAGAAUUCGCACUUUAAAAGAAACAAGAAUUGUGGUUAAAUUGGAACUUUUUUGUGUGGCCUCGGGCAACGUAAAAAUCAAUUAUUUUUGCUCGGCGUGCUGCAUUAACUCAAGCGUUACCCAUUGUUCUUAUAAGAACAUUUUGUCUUUCUUUUUGACAAACGACCUCCAAGAUCCAAUCAGUGUUCCAGCUUUCGUCAGAGUCGGACGAAACACAUUUCCAUGCACUGGCAUGGUCCAAAAAGCCGAUAAAGCUGACGGAAUUUUCAAAAAGAAAAACAAGUUUCAAAAAAAAAAAACUAUAAAGGUAAGGGAUGGGCUAAUCCGAAGUAAAAAGUUAAAAAUAUAAAAUAAAAUUAAAGCCAUUUCUUCGCCCCUUUCAAUUUUUCAGUUACGCCCAUUUCAAGUUUUUUCUCUGUUCGUUACCUACUCGGCAACCAGACAAAAUAAAUUUGAACAGAGAAUCUCGAAAAAAACCAAAAAUCUCUUAAAAAGGUUUGGUUUAUCGAUCAAAAGGAUUUUUAACUUUAUCGAAUACAUCUAUACAUCUAAAUAUCAAGAUCUGCAUAUCAAGAAAAAAAAGAACCAAGCUAGAGAAUUUGCAAGUGAGGGAAAUCCCUCCUUGCUCUACAGGCCUAUCAUAGGUGAAAUCAACAUCACAUUAAAGGUGCGAUAGAAAUAAAAGAAAAUUAUAAAGAAAAGUGCAAAAAAAA